CUACUCAAGGUAAAGUAUAGUGAGAAGACUCACCUCGUGUAUCUCGAUAACUCACGAAUCCCGGAAAUCACUCGCGCUCGAUCCUCCGAGCUAUAAUCCUCCUAUAACAUCAUAUACCUCUAAUUAACACUUUCACAACUAAAGUUGACUACCCCUAUCAAGUCAACACUGGUCAACUCUGGUCAACGGUCAACGGUCAACUUUGACCGGACUCGGCGAGUGCACUAGAGCGACUCGGCGAGUCUAUACGUGUUCACUGACUCCCUAGGAUCCUCUCUUGACACGUCGAGUACUUCCCUGACUCGACGAGUUCCACCUGGCAUGAAUCGCGGGGCCACCACGACUCAACUCGCCGAGUCUCAAGAACAACUCGGCGAGUUCCAGCUCGACUCAGUCCACCUGUCAACCCUCUCUAACUCUCCCUGACUCACUGAGUCAACCCUUAACUCGGCAAGACCACUCGCUGAGUGGUUAAGGACAAUCUUCAUGCUACUCGCCGAGUCUGUUCUUCGGACUCGGCGAGUCCAUGCCAUGCAUCAACUCAAUCUCGCUUCUGAGGUCAGAUCCGCUCCAUCCACUCAUAGAUCUGGCCCUCCUAAGCUCAUUCAUCACGUAAAGUCACAGUCUUGGCUACCAUGCAACACCUACAAGGCUCUUUUUGAAGAAAUGACCUCUAAGAUGGCAACCCUAGUCUCCAACCCAAAAGGAAGGACAUAAAGCAUGGCAUUUGGGACUCUCUGGACCUGCUAAGGUCCAGAUCUAGGUACCAUAUCCCCAUGGGACCUCUCACACUCCAAAUACAAGGCAAACAAGGCAUGAAGAAACCCUAGAUUUGACCAUAUCAACAAAAACACGAGAAUAAGCUCUGAAUGAUACCUCAAGAAGCUUCCUCUGACGAAAUGGAAGUAGAUCCAAGCUCCCCAACUCUUCUAGCUUGACUUUCCCCUUCCUUUCUUGCAAAUACACACAAAUUUGGUGAAUAAUGGCCUCUUAUCUCACUCACAAGAACCCUCAGCUGCUUUGGUGCUCUCAAGGUCAAGGUAGCCGCAAUGAAGGGCCAUAAGGUCCUUUAAAUAGGGCUUAGGACCGGGAAAUUAGGGUUUCAUUAAACAGCGCGGACUCGCCGAGUCCAUUCCUUGGACUCGCCGAGUCCAGGCGCGAACCCGCGUCCAGAACCGCGAUCCUACUCGGCGAGUUUGAGCUCCAACUCGCCGAGUCCCCUCACAAAACACCAAAAAUAUAAGCAUAAAAGAUACCUGGAAAUCCGGGCUGUUACAAUUCUCCCCCACUAGAACUAGACUUCGCCCUCGAAGUCUCGCUCUGAAAAUAGCUCCGGAUGCUGCUCACGCAUCUCACGCUCCGGCUCCCAGGUCAUCUCUGAUCCCUUCCGAUGUUGCCACUGAACCAACACCAGGGGUACCUCCUUGUUCCUCAAAACCUUGAUUUUCCGAUCUCUGAUGGCCACUGGUCUCUCGGCAUAAUUCAGGCUCGCAUCCACCUGAAUAUCCUCUAAUGGAACCACUGCCGACUCAUCGGCUAUACACUUCCUCAGCUGCGACACAUGAAAAGUGUCGUGAAUCUGCCCCAACUCUGCUGGCAAAUCCAAACGAUAGGCUACCCGGCCUACCCUCGCGAUCACACGGAAAGGACCAAUAUAUCGGGGCCCCAACUUGCCCCUCUUCCUGAAUCGAAUCACUCCUUUCCAAGGAGAGACCUUCAGGAGUACAAGGUCGCCGACCUGAAACUCAAGCUCGGACCGGCGUCUGUCUGCAUAACUCUUCUGUCGGCUCUGAGCGGUCAACAACCUCUGUCUGACCUGCUGGAUCUGCUCUGUCGUCUGAAGCACGAUCUCUGUACUGCCCAUCACCCGCUGUCCAACCUCUCCCCAACAAAUGGGGGUCCGACACCUCCUCCCAUACAACAGCUCAAAGGGUGGCAUACCAAUGCUCGAAUGAUGGUUGUUGUUGUAGGAAAACUCUGCCAAGGGCAAAUAUGCAUCCCAGCUACCCCCGAAAUCCAACACACAUGCCCGGAGCAUGUCCUCGAGCGUCUGAAUCGUCCGCUCACUCUGACCGUCUGUCUGGGGAUGAUAUGCGGUACUAAAAUGCAGUCUAGUACCCAACUCCUCAUGAAAUUUCUUCCAGAAUCUGGAAGUGAAGCGCACAUCACGGUCUGAAACAAUCGAGAUCGGCACCCCAUGCCGAGAUACCACUUCCCUCACAUACACCUCCGCCAAUUUCUCUGCUGAAGAACUCUCGCUGAUAGCAAGGAAGUGAGCGCUCUUCGUCAAUCUGUCCACAAUCACCCAAAUUGCAUCAACUCCUCUGGCAGUCCUUGGCAAUUUGGUGAUGAAAUCCAUAGUGAUCUGUUCCCACUUCCAUUCGGGAACCUCCAAUGGCUGCAACUUACCAUGCGGCCUCUGGUGCUCGGCCUUAACCCUACGGCAGGUCAAGCACCUCUCAACAAACCACGCGACAUCCCUCUUCAUACAGGGCCACCAAUACUCCUUUCUCAGAUCCAAAUACAUCUUAGUGGCCCCCGGAUGGAUCGAAAAUUUCGACCGAUGAGCCUCUUCCAUCAAAAUGGUACGCGUUCCUCCCACAAACGGCACCCAGAUACGCCCCUGAAAUGUCAUAAGCCCCCGACCAUCGGUAACGAACUCUGAAACCAAACCAACAACCCGUUCCCUCUUCUGCAUCUCAGGUUGCACAGCCUCGGCCUGUGCCCCACGAAUGGCGUCCAACACUGGAGCUAUCACGGUCAAUCUCAAACAUACAUCCCGCAGCGGGGUGCUCUCCGCCCUGCGGCUCAAUGCAUCGGCUACCACAUUAGCCUUGCCUGGGUGGUACAGGAUCUCACAAUCAUAAUCCUUGACCACAUCCAACCACCUUCUCUGACGCAUAUUUAGGUUGGGCUGAUCCAUCAAAUACUUCAAACUCUUAUGGUCCGUGUAUAUCGUACACCGAACCCCAUACAAGUAGUGACGCCAAAUCUUGAGGGCGAACACCACUGCCCCCAACUCUAGAUCAUGGGUGGGAUAUCUCGUCUCAUGAGGCUUCAGCUGCCUCGAUGCAUAUGCUAUCACAUGCCCUCUCUGCAUCAGCACCGCUCCCAACCCCAAAAUCGAUGCAUCACAGUAUACCACAAAGUCCUCCAUCCCUUCCGGGAGGGCUAACACCGGGGCUUCGCACAACCUUUGGCGAAGUGUCUCAAAGGAGGCCUGCUGCUCGGGGCCCCAUGAAAAAGCAACACCCUUCCGGGUCAACCUGGUGAGUGGCACUGCGAUCUUAGAGAAAUCCUUGAUAAAUCUCCGAUAAUACCCUGCCAACCCUAGGAAACUCCUGAUCUCGGAGGGUGACCUCGGCACCUCCCAACUCAUCACCGCCUCAACCUUGGCCGGAUCGACCAAUAUCCCUUCCUGGUUAACGAGAUGUCCUAAGAACUGGACCUCCCGCAACCAGAAAUCACACUUGGAGAAUUUGGCAUAAAGCCUCUCCGAUCUCAGAACUCCGAGAACCUCUCUCAAAUGCUCCUCAUGCUGCUCUCUAGAUCUCGAAUAUACCAGAAUGUCGUCGAUAAAUACAAUCACCGACCGAUCCAGCAUCGGCCUACACACUCGGUUCAUGAGAUCCAUGAACACUGCCGGGGCAUUGGUGAGCCCAAAAGGCAUCACCACAAACUCAUAAUGCCCAUAACGCGUCCUGAACGCUGUCUUCUGGACGUCCUCAUCCCGCACCCUCACCUGAUGAUAUCCAGACCUCAAAUCGAUCUUGGAGAACCAAGAUGCUCCCUGCAACUGAUCGAACAAAUCGUCGAUCCUCGGCAACGGGUAACGGUUCUUGACCGUCAGCUUGUUCAACUCCCGGUAAUCAAUGCACAUCCGGUGUGAACCAUCCUUCUUCUUGACGAACAGGAUAGGCGCUCCCCACGGCGAGCUGCUCGGCCGAAUAAACCCCUUCCCCAGCAGCUCCUGAAGCUGUGAGGAUAACUCUUGCAUCUCUGGAGGUGCAAGGCGAUAAGGCACCUUAGCGAUAGGCGCGGCCCCCGGAACCAAAUCGAUACUGAACUCCACUUGCCUCACAGGAGGCACACCCGGCAACUCCUCGGGAAAUACAUCCGGGAACUCACGCACCACCGGAACCUCCUCAACUGAACUCGGCCUCUCGGAAUCCACCCGCGUAUCCAUCACAUACGCCACAAAACCCUUACAGCCCUGCUGUAGACACUGCCUCGCCCUAGCGGCCGAACAAAACGCUGAUCCUGAACGUGUACCCUCGCCGUACACCGAAAGAACUCCCCCACUAGGGUCUCGUAUGGUCACCAGCUGUCGCUCGCAGUCGAUAACCGCACCGAAUCUGCUCAACCAGUCCAUGCCCACAAUGACACAGACAUCACCCAUCGCAAUAGGAACCAGAUCAAUCGGGAACUCAACACCGAAAAUCUCGACUACGCAACCUCGGAGAACCUCCGUGGCAUAUAUCACCCUCUCAUCAGCUAUGGAAACUCUCAGAGGCCGACUCAACGCCUCACGACUAACACUGAUAUGCUGACUAAAAGCCAAAGAUACAAAAGACCGACUCGCACCCGAGUCAAAUAACACCAAGGCAGGUACAGAAUUCACAAGAAAAGUACCUACGCAUAACAUAACAUAAGCAUAAUAUCUCAACAUCAAAAUAAAUACAUGAAAGAAUACAUACCAGCCACGACAUCGGGCGCUGCGCGGACCUCCUCCGCGGUCAGCUGAAAGGCUCUCCCUCGUGCCCUCGGCGCCUCGGCCUUCACUGGCCGACUCUCUGUAGCUCUGAUGGCGGCAGGGGCAGAUCCCUGAGGUGCUCCCUGAGAUGAUCCUCGCAACUGCGGACACUCUGCCUUCCGGUGUCCGGUCUGAUUGCAGUGAAAACACACCGCAAACCCCUUGGGGCAGUCCUUGGCCAUGUGCCCCUCCUUGCCACACUUGUAGCAAGAUCCCGCUCUACAGACUCCAUCAUGACCCUUGCCACACUUCCCACAAGUGCGGCCCUUCUGGCUCCCUGGUUUGGGAUCAGCGGGCUUGGCCCGCUUGGCUGCCGGCUGAGACUGUGCCGGUCGCCGAUCCCUCCCCUGAGACUCCGCCUCCUCCCUGGCCUGAGUCUCUAGCUCAAUCUCCCUCUUCCGGGCAUUUGCCUGAAGCUCAGCAAAUGUCCGGUACGAGGAGUUCGCCGCGAACUCCCGAAUGUCUCGCCUCAAAAUACUCAAAUAUCGGCUCAUACGUGCCUGCUCAGUGGACACGUGCUCAGGGCAGAACAUCGCCCUCUCAUGGAACAUCCUGGUAAUCACCGUAACAGACUCAGUACCCUGCUUGAGGGUCAGAAACUCCUGGGCCAAACGCUCCCUCUCCACCUGGGGAACGUACUCAUCUCGGAACAUGGCAGUGAACCUCUCCCAGGUCACUGCCGCAAGCUCAGCAGGCGUAAAGUGCGCCGUCACAAACUUCCACCAGUCCUUCGCUCCCAAGCGAAGCUGGUUCAGCGCGAACCGAACCUUCAAAUGCUCAGGAGAUGAGCAAGUGAAGAAACACCCCUCUAUGUCAGAAAUCCACCUCAUAGCCGCCACCGGGUCCUGGGUCCCAUCAAACUCUGGUGGUUUUGUGUUGCUGAACUCCCGGAACAGCAACGCAUCACCACCUUGCGGCCUCGCGGCAGCAAUAGCUGCGGUGGCCGCUGCAACAGCAGCCUCAGAAAGAGCGGCAUAACGCUCGUCAAAGGUCUCAAUCAGCGUGGUCUUAAUAGACCCGAACAUCUCUGGUAUCUCUGCCCUGAUGGCCGCAGCCACCUCCUCGUGGAUGAUCCGGCGGAUCUCCUCAUCACUGGUCUCACUGCUCUCAGGCAUCAGACGUGUCCUCACCAUGAUCUACCUCUGAAAUACAACAUACGAUAAAUUAGAAUCCAUUCGAGCAUACUCACACUCGACAACUCAUUCCUCCUUGAUCCUUGGUAUUCCAAAGAUUCUUACUUGGGCUGUACACCGCUCCGGUGCUUUCAGUAGUACGGGCCCAAUACUACUGUCCGCACCGUAUCAGAAUACACCCCAAGUCCUCCUCUUCGGAUCCCAAAUUCCAAGUACUCUAUCAUGCAUAAUCCACUCUCUAACAGAUCUCUCAUAAGCCCCUCGCUGCUACCUACUCACUCUCAAGCAUCUCAUAGCAGCUCACCUCUCCCUAGGCUAAGGCAUCACAAAUCAGGCCACUCUAGUCCUAAUAGGAGUACCUAGCCUACUCUAGCAUGAGAAUACAUCAUAUCAAUAUCAAUAUCACAUAACAUGAGGGUAUUUUGGGAAAUCACCGUUCGGGCGCGGACUGAUCGUACACACAACUCUGCUCUGCGUUCUUCCAAAAAUCUUUUAUUCUUUUUGAAAAUACUUCUCAAAUCCUCAGUUUGAGUUCAAAUACGCCCGAAGGUGUACUCGAAUCCCUCAAACCAAGGCUCUGAUACCAACUUGUAACACCGUGAAUUUCAAAAUAAUUUUUCGCAUAAUAUAAAAACAUAUUCAUUUAAAUUUUCAUAAAACAUCAGUGUUUGAAACUCCAAUCAAUGUCAUACAAAGAAUCCCAAGAUCACAUAUCAUAAAAAUCCCAUGUGUGUGUACUGAUCAAGCCGGCGCCUUCCCACGGUCAUCACUAGUACCUGAAACAAUCAACACCAACACUGUAAGCACAAAGCUUAGUGAGUUCCCCAAAAUACCACACAUAACACAUAUUAGCCACUCGAGGCUAUAACUCUGUGGGUCCGUAGACCCUACUCUGUGAACCCUCUGGUUCUAACUCUGGGAACCUUCCGGUUCCAACUCUAUAAACAUGCACAGCAUAAAUCACAUAGAAAUAAUGCAGUACAACACAUAACAUACAUAUAGCAUACAAAUACUCUGUCACAUAACUCUGGUUACCUACUCAAGGUAAAGUAUAGUGAGAAGACUCACCUCGUGUAUCUCGAUAACUCGCGAAUCCCGGAAAUCACUCGCGCUCGAUCCUCCGAGCUAUAAUCCUCCUAUAACAUCAUAUACCUCUAAUUAACACUUUCACAACUAAAGUUGACUACCCCUAUCAAGUCAACACUGGUCAACUCUGGUCAACGGUCAACUUUGACCGGACUCGGCGAGUGCACUAGAACGACUCGGCGAGUCUAUACGUGUUCACUGACUCCCUAGGAUCCUCUCUUGACACGUCGAGUACUUCCCUGACUCGACGAGUUCCACCUGGCAUGAAUCGCGGGGCCACCACGACUCAACUCGCCGAGUCUCAAGAACAACUCGGCGAGUUCCAGCUUGACUCAGUCCACCUGUCGACCCUCUCUGACUCUCCCUUACUCACUGAGUCAACCCAUAACUCGGUAAGACCACUCGCUGAGUGGUUAAAGGCAAUCUUCAUGCUACUCGCCGAGUCUGUUCU
rnacentral:lncRNA from 1 species